CAUGCUUGGGCGUCAAAUCCCUGAUGGCAAAGACUGUUCAGCAGCUAGAGAGAUAUGAUCAGAAAGGCCAGUUUUGUUACUUUGAAAAGGCUGGAAAGUUGACGUGGCACGAUGGCGUCAUCCCUGAUGACAAAAUAUGGAUUAGACGUAGGAGAUAAGGGAGGCCAUACAUGUACCUUCAAGCAAAUGUUCCAGUUUGGGAAUGUACAGAGGCCCAAUGCACUUGCCAGUACAGUUGCUGUGUGUGUCUUCGAGGCAGAUGAUUCUAGUUAUAACUUGGAGCUGGGACUGAGGCGACAUCAGGAACAAGUUGCUGAGCUGAUGAAAUCUACCUGGAGGCACUACAAGUUUGAUGUGUUUCUCUUUGGAGACUAUCAGUAUCUGUGUCGUACAUAUGGCAUCGCUGGAGCAACAGAGCACCGGACCCUGGAAACAAUGGCGAGUGAUCUGUCUAAGUUCAGGGAAGAUGGUUGUCAGCCUUCCAGAGCGAAGUUAUUCAACAAUGUCAUCCGGCCCCUCCAUGCUUCUCAUCCCUCUCACUCAUGUGCGUCCACCAGGUCUUCACAUAAGCCUGGACAUUUUGUUAAAGCGUUAUGUCAGUUUGCAAAGUGCCUGUCAUGAGCUUGGUACCAAGCUAAGUGAAACUUUAGCAAUGUCUGGAGAGCUACAAGCAGAGAAGAACUUGGAGAAGAAUUUGGAGAAUACACAGCUGGUAUAAGAAAUGCCCUUGCACUAGAGGAGGAAGCAGAUGCCUGGAAAGUGAAUGUGGCAGCACUGGAAGACCAACUGUUAGCUCUGGUCCUUCAAACAACAAGCGCUAGUGAUAACAUGGCCACAGUGAUGCUGCUGUGAGAUGCUGUACAGGAAAACUUGUAGCAUUUUCCAUGGACCCCUCCAUAGAAUUCAGUUCUUCAAAGCCGACCCAGAUUUGAGAACCUUCUCCCCUCAGUUCGAUUGUACUGCAAUAUCAUGUUUCUUCCAGGAAUCAGCUGCAGCAUCUCUGAGAAAGAACACCACCCUGCAGCCAGGCCAAGGAUCCCCGACUUCUCAGCUGGACAAGACUCUGCAGGAAAUGGGAGUUCAUCGGCAGGCAUAUCACGGAAAUACAUUUGCUGGGAACCACGUGCACAAAUGUUGCCAGGAAUACAAUAUCAGAAAACUGACAUCCUGUAUUGUCCAGAAAACUGAGGAGUUGUGCCCAACUUUGCCUGCCAAGGAUGAACGAUGCUGAAGACCUUUCCAGGAAGUAUCAACUGCUCACACUCUCUUGAAGGUGCCACAACAAAUCCAAUCUUGGAAGAAGACUUGGUACAGAAGAAAUAGAAGAACUUGAUAAGCAAAAAGCAGACACAAGGUCAAACAAUUUCAUAUCUGCAUACCACGUGGCAGCAGCUAAGUUCCUUGCCUUUCACAUUCAAACCCUGGUUUGAAUCUUGCAGGAUGCAGAGUCAAUUGGAUAUACUGCUUCCCCAUAACAGUCCCCUGUUAUGUGUGGAGGGUUAUUAUGGAGCCAGGACGACCUGCAUUUAGGUGACAACUUCAGCUACUCUUUAUUUCCAACGUGAGCUCUGAGAACUAUCCGAAAGGAGUGACUGACUAGCGCCCUCUAUGGUCUGGUAUAUUACAUCCCCCCUUUUUAAAAGAAAGAUAUGAACAAAUUGCAACUGGUUUGGAAAUUGGAAAAAAAAAAUUUAACGACAAAAAAACCCCAAAAACUGAGCAAAGACGGGAACAGAGAGUCCAUUGAACAGGUAAUAAAUGAACUCAGCUGUUACAUGGAAAAAAAACAAACAUUUUACUGUCUGGUUCUUGGUGAUCUUUUCUUA
rnacentral:lncRNA from 1 species